UCCGGCUUGACGCCGGCAGUCUCCUUAGAGUGCCCAGCCGAACUGGUGGCAACUAAGGGCAAGGGUUGCGCUCGUUGCGGGACUUAACCCAACACCUCACGGCACGAGCUGACGGCAGCCAUGCAGCACCUGAACCGGCGGUCCCCGAAGGGAAGGGGUGUUUCCACCCCGGUCAGGAACAUGUCAAGCCCAGGUAAGGUUCUUCGCGUUGCGUCGAAUUAAACCACAUGCUCCGCUGCUUGUGCGGGCCCCCGUCAAUUCCUUUGAGUUUUAGCCUUGCGGCCGUACUCCCCAGGCGGGUCACUUAAUGCGUUAGCUGCGGCACAGGAGGAGUCGACACCUCCCACACCUAGUGACCAUCGUUUACGGCGUGGACUAC
rnacentral:misc_RNA from 1 species